GUAGGCGUAGCGAAAGCGAGUCUGAAUAGGGCGAAUGAGUACGUAGCAUUAGACCCGAAGGCAGAUGAUCUAUGCAUGAGCAGGCUGAAGGUGGGGUAACACCCACUGGAGGGCCGAACCGUUGUAUGUUGAAAAAUACUCGGAUGACUUGUGCCUAGGGGUGAAAGGCCAAUCAAAUCUGCUGAUAGCUGGUUCUCCGCGAAAUCUAUUUAGGUAGAGCGUCACGAUUAAGACUCCUGGGGGUAGAGCACUGGAUGGACUAGGGGGCCUCACCGGCUUACCAAAUCUUACCAAACUCCGAAUACCAGGAAGUUAUGCGUGGCAGACACACGGCGGGUGCUAACGUCCGUCG
rnacentral:rRNA from 1 species